UACGGGAGGCAGCAGUGGGGAAUAUUGCACAAUGGGCGAAAGCCUGAUGCAGCCAUGCCGCGUGUAUGAAGAAGGCCUUCGGGUUGUAAAGUACUUUCAGUCGUGAGGAAGGUGUUAAGGUUAAUAACCUUAGCAAUUGACGUUAGCGACAGAAGAAGCACCGGCUAACUCCGUGCCAGCAGCCGCGGUAAUACGGAGGGUGCGAGCGUUAAUCGGAAUUACUGGGCGUAAAGGGCACGCAGGCGGUUAAUUAAGUUGGAUGUGAAAUCCCCGGGCUUAACCUGGGAAUGGCAUUCAAGACUGGUUAGCUAGAGUCUUGUAGAGGGGGUAGAAUUCCAUGUGUAGCGGUGAAAUGCGUAGAGAUGUGGAGGAAUACCGGUGGCGAAGGCGGCCCCUGGACAAAGACUGACGCUCAUGUGCGAAAGCGUGGGGAGCAAACAGGGAUUAGAUACC
rnacentral:rRNA from 1 species